UGAAUACGAGACGCUAAGGCGUCGAAGUAGUGUAUGUCAUACUUCCAAGAAAAGCUUGCACUGUCAUAGAUAAAAAACGCCUGUACCAUAACCGACACAGGUGGGUAGGUAGAGUAUACUAAGGGGCGCGAGAUAACUCUCUCUAAGGAACUCGGCAAAAUAACUCCGUAACUUCGGGAGAAGGAGUGCCUUAUUCGUAAGGUUGCAAUAACAAGAUCCAAGCAACUGUUUAUCAAAAACACUGGUCUCCGCUAAGUCGUAAGUCGAUGUAUGGGGGCUGACGCCUGCCCAGUGCCAGAAGGUUAAAGAAGUUGGUUAGCAAUUGCGAAGCUGAUAACUGAAGCCCUGGUGAACGGCGGCCGUAACAAUAACGGUCCUAAGGUAGCGAAAUUCCUUGUCGGGUAAGUUCCGACCCGCACGAAAGGCGUAAUGAUUUGGAUACUGUCUCGGAGAGGGGCUCGGUGAAAUAGACUUGUCUGUGAAGAUGCGGACUACCUGCACCAGGACAGAAAGACCCUAUGAAGCUUUACUGUAACUUGAAAUUGAAAUUGGACUUUAUUCGCGCAGUAUAGGUGGGAGGCGUUGAUUAUAAUCUCGUGGGAUUAUUGGAGCCAUCAGUGAGAUACCACUCUUGUAAUGUUAGAUUUCUAACUUUGAAUCAUUAUCUGGUCAAAGAACAGUUUCAGGCGGGCAGUUUGACUGGGGCGGUCGCCUCCUAAACGGUAACGGAGGCGUACAAAGGUUUCCUCUGAACGGUUAGAAAUCGUAUCUAGAGUGUAAAGGCAUAAGGAAGCUUGACUGUGAGACCUACAAGUCGAGCAGGGACGAAAGUCGGUCUUAGUGAUCUGACGGUACUGAGUGGAAAGGCCGUCACUCAACGGAUAAAAGUUACUCUAGGAUAACAGGCUGAUCUCCCCCAAGAGUUCACAUCGACGGGGAGGUUUGGCACCUCGAUGUCGGCUCAUCGCAUCCUGGGGCGGUAGUACGUCCCAAGGGUUGGGCUGUUCGCCCAUGAAAGCGGUACGCGAGCUGGGUUCAGAACGUCGUGAGACAGUUCGGUCCAUAUCCGGUGUAGGCGUUAGAAUAUUGAGAGGAGCCUUCUUUAGUACGAGAGGACCGGGAAGGACAUACCUCUGGUGUACCAGUUAUCGUGCCAACGGUAAACGCUGGGUAGCUAUGUAUGGAGUGGAUAACCGCUGAAAGCAUCUAAGUGGGAAGCCCACCUCAAGAUAAG
rnacentral:rRNA from 1 species